rnacentral:rRNA from 1 species
CCUACGGGAGGCAGCAGUNGGGAAUAUUGNGCAAUGGGCGGAANCCUGACGCAGCGGNCCGCGCGAGGGACGAAGGCCUUCGGGUUGUAAACCUCUUUNUGCUNGAAGCUCCCUGGUUUUUUCGGUGGUGACGGUAGGGGUGGAUGAAGCGCCGGCCAACUACGUGCCAGCAGCCGCGGUAAGACGUAGGGCGAGCGUUGUCCGGAUUUAUUGGGCGUAAAGAUNGUAGGCGGCCNGUUGCNUCAUCCGAAAUCCUGNGGCUUANCUGUGGGUUUGCGGUUGAUUCGGGCANGGGANUUCGGUAGGGGAGACUGGAAUUCCUGGUGUAGCGGGGAAAAGCGCAGAUAUCAGGAGGAACNCCGGUGGCGAAGGCGGGUUUNUGGGCCGAUACUGACGCUGAGGAGCGAAAGUGGGGAGCGANCAGGAUUAGAUACCCCNGUAGUCCACCCUAAACNUGNAGGUGUGGGGGCCCUUCCCGGGUUUCUGUGCCGCAGCUAACGCAUAAGC